UUAUUAUACCCAGGUGAUUACCAC
rnacentral:piRNA from 1 species